GUCGAACGGAAACCUUCGGGUUUUAGUGGCGAACGGGUGAGUAACACGUAAGCAACCUACCCUAAAGACGAGGAUAACCAUUGGAAACAGUGGCUAAGACUGGAUAGGAAGAUAAAAGGCAUCUUGUAUCUUUUAAAAGACCUAGUAAUAGGUAUGCUUUAGGAGGGGCUUGCGCCAUAUUAGUUAGUUGGUAGGGUAAUGGCCUACCAAGACGAUGAUGUGUAGCUGGACUGAGAGGUUGAACAGCCACAUUGGGACUGAGACACGGCCCAAACUCCUACGGGAGGCAGCAGUAGGGAAUUUUCGGCAAUGGAGGAAACUCUGACCGAGCAACGCCGCGUGAAUGACGAAGUACUUCGGUAUGUAAAGUUCUUUUAUCGAGGAAGAAAAGCAAAUGGCGAACCAUUUGUUUGCCGGUACUUGAUGAAUAAGCCCCGGCUAAUUAUGUGCCAGCAGCCGCGGUAAGACAUAAGGGGCAAGUGUUAUCCGGAAUUAUUGGGCGUAAAGGGUGCGUAGGCGGUCUAGUAAGUCAGUGGUGUAAUGGCAACGCUUAACGUUGUCCGGCUAUUGAAACUGCUAAACUUGAGUUAGAUAGAGGCGAGUGGAAUUCCAUGUGUAGCGGUAAAAUGCGUAAAUAUAUGGAGGAACACCAGAGGCGUAGGCGGCUCGCUGGGUCUUAACUGACGCUGAGGCACGAAAGCGUGGGGAGCAAACAGGAUUAGAUACCCUGGUAGUCCACGCCGUAAACGAUGAGUACUAAGUGUCGGGUUAAACCGGUACUGAAGUUAACACAUUAAGUACUCCGCCUGAGUAGUACGUACGCAAGUAUGAAACUUAAAGGAAUUGACGGGACUCCGCACAAGCGGUGGAUCAUGUUGUUUAAUUCGAA
rnacentral:rRNA from 1 species